rnacentral:rRNA from 1 species
CCUACGGGAGGCUGCAGUGGGGAAUAUUGGACAAUGGGGGGAACCCUGAUCCAGCCAUGCCGCGUGUGUGAAGAAGCCCUCGGGUUGUAAAGCACUUUCAGUGAGGAAGAACGCCUGGUGGUUAAUACCCAUCAGGAAAGACAUCACUCACAGAAGAAGCACCGGCUAACUCCGUGCCAGCAGCCGCGGUAAUACGGAGGGUGCGAGCGUUAAUCGGAAUUACUGGGCGUAAAGCGCGCGUAGGUGGCUUGAUAAGCCGGUUGUGAAAGCCCCGGGCUCAACCUGGGAACGGCAUCCGGAACUGUCAAGCUAGAGUGCAGGAGAGGAAGGUAGAAUUCCCGGUGUAGCGGUGAAAUGCGUAGAGAUCGGGAGGAAUACCAGUGGCGAAGGCGGCCUUCUGGACUGACACUGACACUGAGGUGCGAAAGCGUGGGUAGCAAACAGGAUUAGAUACCCGUGUAGUC